rnacentral:rRNA from 1 species
UACGGGGGGGGCAAGCGUUGUUCGGAAUUACUGGGCGUAAAGGGCUCGUAGGUGGCCAACUAAGUCAUACGUGAAAUCCCUCAGCUUAACUGGGGAACUGCGUCUGGUACUGGAUGGCUUGAGUUUGGGAGAGGGAUGCGGAAUUCCAGGUGUAGCGGUGAAAUGCGUAGAUAUCUGGAGGAACACCGGUGGCGAAGGCGGCAUCCUGGACCAAUACUGACACUGAGGAGCGAAAGCCAGGGGAGCAAACGGG